rnacentral:lncRNA from 1 species
ACUAAGAAUUAAGCCGAGUCCUUUUUCGAAAUCGAGAUGCAGUGGUUGACCAGUCAUAGGAUCCCUGCUUCAUACAAACUUAUAGUGCUUGGGCGAGAUAUAUAACGCUUCUCAGCUACUUCUCCAAUGCAAAACCCAUACUCACCCAGGAGAGUCAUGCGUCCACUUCACGCCAAUACUCCAUCUGCCCACCGAUAAACUCGCCGCUAUCUUCAAAGAUAAUCCCAGACGACAUCUUCUCCGAUCGAUGUGUGGAUCGCUGUUCUUUUUUUCUUCCUCCUCUCUCGAUUUAGG